CUGGCUCAGGAUGAACGCUAGCUACAGGCUUAACACAUGCAAGUCGAGGGGCAGCAUUGGGAUAGCUUGCUAUUCAGAUGGCGACCGGCGCACGGGUGAGUAACGCGUAUCCAACCUUCCUGCCAGUAGGGAACAGCCCGGCGAAAGUCGGAUUAAUGCCCUAUGUUCUUCAAUGCGGACAUCUAAGUUGAAGGAAAGAUUCAUCGCUGGCAGAUGGGGAUGCGUCCGAUUAGCUUGCCGGCGGGGUAACGGCCCACCGGGGCGACGAUCGGUAGGGGUUCUGAGAGGAAGGUCCCCCACACUGGUACUGAGACACGGACCAGACUCCUACGGGAGGCAGCAGUGAGGAAUAUUGGUCAAUGGGCGUAAGCCUGAACCAGCCAAGUAGCGUGCAGGAAUGACGGCCCUACGGGUUGUAAACUGCUUUUAUGCGGGGAUAAAGUGCGGCACGUGUGCCGCUUUGCAGGUACCGCAUGAAUAAGGACCGGCUAAUUCCGUGCCAGCCGCUGC
rnacentral:rRNA from 1 species